rnacentral:rRNA from 1 species
UACGUAGGGUGCGAGCGUUGUCCGGAAUUAUUGGGCGUAAAGAGCUCGUAGGCGGCUUGUUGCGUCGGAUGUGAAAGCCCGGGGCUUAACUCCGGGUCUGCAUUCGAUACGGGCAGGCUAGAGUUCGGUAGGGGAGAUCGGAAUUCCUGGUGUAGCGGUGAAAUGCGCAGAUAUCGGGAGGAACACCAGUAGCGAAGGCGGCACUCUGGGCCGGUACUGACGCUGAGGAGCGAAAGCGUGGGGAGCGAACAGG